UUUCGUUUGCGGCAGCGGGCAGUGGCGUUGACCUAUUGGUUAUCGGUCUAUUUCUUCUACCAGUACACGGAGCAAACGAAACCUUGUUUAUUGCUCGACUCAGUGGUGCUCUAAUUCCAGUGGCAACAGCUCUGUCAAGUUCUUUGGAUUCCCGAUCGAAUGACGAAAGGAAACCUGGCACACUCACCAGCCUGAAAUAAAUGGAUUCCGAUGAUAAUGAUAUUAAGGCCAUUUUCGAGUGCAGCUCGGCGACACGGGCAUUUUCCUGCAACGAGAGAAAACGGAGGCAGAGCUUGUCUGGUACCACAUCAGGAUCGCUCCCGAGGUCAAUGAACUGGAUUAUUUAGGUUGCACAGUGAGUGGGAGGAGGCAUUUUUAUGAGAACAUCACGAAGAAAACCUCACUGGAGAAAUGCUCACCGGAGAAGAGCUCGCCCACUUUUUUGCGGGUCUGGAGAAAAGCACACCAGUCUUUUGAAAUACCCCGAGGAAAGCUCAUCUUGAAUUAAA